rnacentral:rRNA from 1 species
GUCUUGUUGAUUAAUAAUUUCAAGUCUUACCUGCCCCCUGUUUAUAUAAAUGGCCGCAGUAUUUUGACUGUGCUAAGGUAGCAUAAUCAUUAGUUUUUUAAUUGAAAGCUAGAAUGAAUGGUAAUAUGAAAAAAUAACUGUCUCUUUUAUAUAAAUAAAAUUUUAUUUUUAAGUUAAAAAGCUUAAAUUGGAUUAAAAGACGAGAAGACCCUAUAGAAUUUAAUUUAAUUUAAUUUUUAAUUUAUUAGUAAUAAAAAUUUACUAAUUAAUUUAUAUUUAAUUGGGGUGAUUAGAAAAUUAAAAAAUCUUUUCUUUAUUAGACCAUUAAUUUAUGAUUUUAUGAUUCAUUAUUAUGAUUUAAGAAUAAAUUACCUUAGGGAUAACAGCGUAAUUUUUUUUGAGAGUUCAAAUUAAAAAAAAAGAUUGCGACCUCGAUGUUGGAUUAAAAU